rnacentral:lncRNA from 1 species
UGUUAAAUGGAUUCCAAGAUUAUGAUUGUAUCGUCAUUCGACGUAUCAGUAUAUCUUUCAGAUAACCCAAAUUUUUAUUUCUACAGUUCAGAAACAGAGACAGCUUCACACUUAAUGAAGUGCCCAGUUUUAAAACCUGUUUACUCUACUCUUGGAGAGCUGGUAAAGGAACGCUUCGGAGACUCAUGAUCGUGAAAAAUCAAUUCUGCAUCUACGCCAUGAAAGUAUCCAGCUCCAAGCUUGACGGUGGUGUGAUAAAUAUUUUAAGAAACUAUAUUAGCGUUUUAAAUACGAUUGAGCUUAGGUUUUGAAGGUUUUAAUUGAUGUUUGUUUGUAUUUUAUAUGU